CCUACGGGAGGCAGCAGUGAGGAAUAUUGGUCAAUGGGCGCGAGCCUGAACCAGCCAAGUAGCGUGAGGGAUGACGGUCCUACGGAUUGUAAACUUCUUUUAUAGGGGAAUAAAAUGCGCCACGCGUGGCGUUUUGAGUGUACUUGAUGAAAAAGCAUCGGCUAACUCCGUGCCAGCAGCCGCGGUAAUACGGAGGAUGCGAGCGUUAUCCGGAUUUAUUGGGUUUAAAGGGUGCGUAGGGGGUAGAUCAAGUCAGUGGUAAAGUUGGGGGGCUCAACCUCAUCUAGCCAUUGAAACUGGUAGUCUUGAGUGAGGGAGAGGUAGGCGGAAUGCGUGGUGUAGCGGUGAAAUGCUUAGAUAUCACGCAGAACUCCGAUUGCGAAGGCAGCAUACUAACGCGCAACUGACACUCAUGCACGAAAGUGUGGGUAUCAAACAGGAUUAGAUACCCUAGUAGUC
rnacentral:rRNA from 1 species